rnacentral:tRNA from 1 species
GUCCGUGUGGCUCAGUUGGUAGAGCAUGGUGUUUGCAACGCCAGGGUUGUGGGUUCGAUUCCCACGGGGGACC